UUGAGCGCAUUGCUAGAAGAUGUGUGGUUAAUACAUCCUCUGUGCAUUUAAGUAAGACCAAAGAAAAGGUCACUGUAGUCCUGCCACUAUGCAUGUCAGAAAUUCAGCUUCCUGAACCGGGUUUGUUACAUUGCCACUCUAACCUGUUUUUUCUGAGUUUCCCCAAACACAUCCUGACUAAUUAUUCAACCAUCGACACCUGCUGCUGCCUGCACACCCGGUCCUGAUUACCAUCCCUUUCACCAUUUAAGCCGUGACCAGACAACCAGUCCCUGCCGGAUCGUUAGCGUACCACCUCAUCACUUGGAUCGCCCUUUUCCCCUGCCUAGCCGUUGACCCGACUCCAGCCCCCACUCAUCACCACCCAACCGGACCAGACCUUCCCCACACCUUUUUUUGCAUAA